CCUACGGGUGGCAGCAGUGGGGAAUAUUGCACAAUGGGGGGAACUCUGAUGCAGCGACGCCGCGUGGGUGAAGGCGUAUCUCGGUAUGUAAAGCUCUAUCAGCAUGGAAGAACAAUGACGGUACCUGACUAAGAAGUACCGGCUAACUACGUGCCAGCAGCCGCGGUAACACGUAUGGUGCGAGCGGUAUCCGGAUUUACUGGGUGUAAAGGGAGCGCAGGCGGCGCGUUAAGCCUGGUGUGAAAGCUCGCGGCCCAACCGCGGGACUGCAUUGGAAACUGGCGCGCUGGAGUGCAGUAGGGGUAGGCGGAAUUCCUAGUGUAGCGGUGAAAUGCGUAGAUAUUAGGAGGAACACCAGUGGCGAAGGCGGCCUACUGGACGGUGACUGACGCUGAGGCUCGAAAGCGUGGGGAGCAAACAGGAUUAGAUACCCGGGUAGUC
rnacentral:rRNA from 1 species